GACGAACGCUGGCGGCGUGCUUAACACAUGCAAGUCGAACGGAAAGGCCCUGCUUUUGUGGGGUGCUCGAGUGGCGAACGGGUGAGUAACACGUGAGUAACCUGCCCUUGACUUUGGGAUAACUUCAGGAAACUGGGGCUAAUACCGGAUAGGAGCUCCUGCUGCAUGGUGGGGGUUGGAAAGUUUCGGCGGUUGGGGAUGGACUCGCGGCUUAUCAGCUUGUUGGUGGGGUAGUGGCUUACCAAGGCUUUGACGGGUAGCCGGCCUGAGAGGGUGACCGGCCACAUUGGGACUGAGAUACGGCCCAGACUCCUACGGGAGGCAGCGGUGGGGAAUAUUGCACAAUGGGCGGAAGCCUGAUGCAGCAACGCCGCGUGCGGGAUGACGGCCUUCGGGUUGUAAACCGCUUUCGCCUGUGACGAAGCGUGAGUGACGGUAAUGGGUAAAGAAGCACCGGCUAACUACGUGCCAGCAGCCGCGGUGAUACGUAGGGUGCGAGCGUUGUCCGGAUUUAUUGGGCGUAAAGGGCUCGUAGGUGGUUGAUCGCGUCGGAAGUGUAAUCUUGGGGCUUAACCCUGAGCGUGCUUUCGAUACGGGUUGACUUGAGGAAGGUAGGGGAGAAUGGAAUUCCUGGUGGAGCGGUGGAAUGCGCAGAUAUCAGGAGGAACACCAGUGGCGAAGGCGGUUCUCUGGGCCUUUCCUGACGCUGAGGAGCGAAAGCGUGGGGAGCGAACAGGCUUAGAUACCCUGGUAGUCCACGCUGUAAACGGUGGGUACUAGGUGUGGGGUCCAUUCCACGGGUUCCGUGCCGUAGCUAACGCUUUAAGUACCCCGCCUGGGGAGUACGGCCGCAAGGCUAAAACUCAAAGGAAUUAACGGGGCCCCGCACAAGCGGCGGAGCAUGCGGAUUAAUUCGAUGCAACGCGUAGAACCUUACCUGGGUUUGACAUGGAUCGGGAGCGCUCAGAGAUGGGUGUGCCUCUUUUGGGGUCGGUUCACAGGUGGUGCAUGGCUGUCGUCAGCUCGUGUCGUGAGAUGCUGGGUUAAGUCCCGCAACGAGCGCAACCCUUGUUCACUGUUGCCAGCACGUUAUGGUGGGGACUCAGUGGAGACCGCCGGGGUCAACUCGGAGGAAGGUGGGGAUGACGUCAAGUCAUCAUGCCCCUUAUGUCCAGGGCUUCACGCAUGCUACAAUGGCUGGUACAGAGAGUGGCGAGCCUGUGAGGGUGAGCGAAUCUCGGAAAGCCGGUCUCAGUUCGGAUUGGGGUCUGCAACUCGACCUCAUGAAGUCGGAGUCGCUAGUAAUCGCAGAUCAGCAACGCUGCGGUGAAUACGUUCCCGGGGCU
rnacentral:rRNA from 1 species